AAACCUCUGACUUCCGGCGGCAUUUUGAGGCGGUCCUCCUAGCGGCCUGUACAAAAUGUCAAAAAUUAGAAGGAAGGUCACAGUGGAAAAUACCAAGACUAUAUCUGAUAGCACAUCCCGAAGACCCAGUGUAUUUGAGAGGCUUGGACCCAGCACUGGCAGUACAGCAGAGACACAGUGCCGUAACUGGCUGAAGACUGGCAACUGCCUCUAUGGAAACACAUGUAGAUUCGUACAUGGCCCUUCACCUCGUGGUAAAGGUUAUAGCAGCAAUUAUAGAAGGUCACCAGAAAGACCUACAGGGGAUCUUAGAGAAAGAAUGAAGAACAAGCGCCAAGACGUGGACACUGAGCCCCAGAAACGAAAUACAGAGGAGUCAUCCUCACCUGUUAGGAAAGAAUCUUCAAGAGGGAGACAUAGGGAAAAGGAAGACAUAAAAAUCACUAAGGAAAGAACUCCAGAAAGUGAAGAAGAAAAUGUAGAAUGGGAAACUAAUAGAGAUGAUUCUGACAAUGGAGAUAUUAAUUAUGAUUAUGUUCAUGAAUUGUCAUUGGAAAUGAAGCGUCAGAAGAUACAGAGGGAAUUAAUGAAGCUGGAACAAGAAAACAUGGAGAAGAGAGAAGAAAUUAUCAUUAAAAAGGAGGUUUCACCAGAAGUGGUUAGAUCAAAAUUGUCCCCGUCACCUUCUCUAAGAAAGUCUAGCAAAUCUCCGAAGCGAAAAUCAAGCCCGAAGUCGUCUUCAGCUAGCAAGAAAGAUAGGAAGACAUCUGCAGUAUCUUCUCCCCUGUUGGACCAGCAGAGAAAUUCAAAAACCAACCAAAGUAAAAAGAAAGGACCACGUACUCCUAGUCCACCCCCUCCUAUACCAGAAGAUAUCGCUCUGGGGAAAAAAUACAAAGAAAAAUAUAAAGUAAAAGACAGGAUAGAAGAAAAAACAAGAGAUGGAAAGGACAGAGGACGAGAUUUUGAACGACAAAGAGAAAAGAGAGACAAGCCAAGGACAUGAAACAACAGAGCUAGGAAUACUGGAAGAUUAUGUAAAUACCUGAUCUGCACGCACUGGAGUUCUAAAGCCAUAUGUGACAAGACAUUGGAAAAAGACAUUUUGGUUUAGGAAGAGUUAAUUACCAAGGUUCUUAGGUGGGGCUGUUAUUUUCAUUUGUCUCCAUUACUCUGAAUGAAGAAAUUACAGGCGCACCAAUUUUAUUGAAGCUCACAGAUGUUGUGUAUUUUUACAAAUGGAAGGUUUGUGGCAUCCCUGCAUUAAACAAGCCUAUCAGUGCCAUUUUUCCAAUAACAUGUGCUCACUUUGUGUCUCUGUAAUUCUUGAAAUAUUUCAAGCUUUUUCAUCAUUAUUGUAUCUGUUACGAUGGACUGUGAUCAGUAAUUGUCGCAUUACCAUUGUAAUUGUUCUGGGGUGUCGUGAACUGCACCCAUAUAAAACAGUGAACUUAAUCUGCAAAUGUGUGUGUUCUGACUGCCCUACUGACUGGCUAGUCCCCUGUCUCUCACCAUCUCCUUGGGCCUCUGUAUUCCUUGAGACACAACAAUAUUGAAAUUAGGCCAACUAAUAACCCUAUGUGUAGUGGCCUCUAAGUGUUCAAGUAGAAAGGAAGAGUCUCUUACUUUAAAUCAAAAGCUAGAAGUGAUUAAGCUUAGUGAGGAAGGCAUACUGAAAACUUAGGUGGCAAGCUAGAUCUCUUGUGCCAGUCAGCUAAGUUGUGAAUGCAAAGGAAAAGUUCUUGAAGGAAAUUUAAAGUGCUACUCCAAUGAACACAUGAAUGGGAAGAAAGCAAAACAGCCAUAUUGCUGAUGCGGACAAAGUUUGAGUGGGCUGGAUAAAAGAUCAAAGCAGCCACAGUUGAAAUCAGCCACAACAUUCCUUUAAGCCAGAGUCUAAUCUGGAGCAAGGUCCUAACUCUCUUUAAUUCUUUCGAGGCUGAAAGAGGUAAGGAAGCUGCAGGAAAAAAGUUUGAAGUUAGCAGAGGUUACUUCAUGACAUUUAACGAAUGAAGCCAUCUCCGUAGCACAAAAGUGCAAGAUGAAGCAGCACAAAAGUGCAAGAUGAAGCAGCACAUGCUGAUGAAGAAGCAGCGGCAAGUUAUCCGGAAGAUCUAGAUAAGAUAAUUGAUGUUGGCCACACUAAACAAAUUUUCAGUGUAGUUGAUACAGCCUUAUUGGAAGAAGAUGCCAUCCAAGAUGUCCAUAGCCAGAGAGGAGAAGUCAAUGCUUGGCUUCAAAGCUCCGAAGAACAGGCUGACUCUCUCGUUAGGGGCCAGUGCAGCUGGGGGUUUUAAGGUGAAGCCAGUGCUCAUUUACCAUCCUGAAAAUCCUAGGAUUUUUAAGAAUUAUGCUAAAUGUACUUUGCCUGUGCUCUUAAGUGGAAAAACAAGCAUGGAUGACAGCACAUCUGUUUACAGCAUGGUUUACUAAAUAUUUUAAGCCCACUAUUGAGACCUAUUGCUCAGAAGAAAAGAUUCCAUUCAAAAUACUACUGUUUGUUUAUGAUGUGCCUGUUUACGCAGGAGCUCUGAUGAAGAUGUCAGGAGAGAUUAAUAGUUUCAUGCUCGCUAAGACAAAAGGCACCCUACAGCCCAUGGAUCAAAGACUAAUUUUUACUUUUGAGUCUUAUUUAAAAAAUACAUUUUAUAAGGCCACAACUGCCAUAGAUAGUGAUUCCUCUGAUGGAUCUGGGCAAAAUAAAUUGAAAACUUUAUGGAAAGGAUUUACUGUUCAAGAUGCCAUUAAGAACAUUCGUCAUUCACAGGAGGAGGUCAAAAUAUUAAUAGUUACAGAAGUUAAAAGAAGUCAAUUACAACGUUCAUGGAUGACUUAGAGAAGUUCAAGACUUUAUUGAAAGAAGUAACUGCAAAUGUGGUGGAAAUAGCAAGAGAACUAGAAUUAAAAGUAGAUCCUGAAGAUGUAACUGAAUUGCUGCAAUCUCAGAUCAGACUUGAACGGAUGAGGAGUUGCAUCAUAUGGAUGAACAAAGAAAGUGGUUUCUUGAGAUGGAGUCUACUCCUGGUGAAGAUGCUAGAAACAUUUUUUUAAAUGACAGUGACACCAAAGAAUUCAGAGUGUCACAUAAACUUUGUUGACAAAGCAGCAGCAGGGUUUGAGAGGAUUGAGUCCAGGUCUACUUCCCCAGCAGGACAGCAUCAUUCUCCUAUAUCUUCUAGACAUCACUCAUCUUCCUCACAAUCAGGAUCAUCUAUUCAAAGACAUUCUCCUUCUCCUCGUCGAAAAAGAACUCCUUCACCAUCUUAUCAGCGGACACUAACUCCACCUUUACGACGCUCUGCCUCUCCUUAUCCUUCACAUUCUUUGUCGUCUCCCCAGAGAAAGCAGAGUCCUCCAAGACAUCGCUCUCCAAUGCGAGAGAAAGGGAGACAUGAUCAUGAACGAACUUCACAGUCUCAUGAUCGACGCCAUGAAAGGAGGGAAGAUACUAGGGGCAAACGAGACAGAGAAAAGGACUCAAGAGAAGAACGAGAAUAUGAACAGGAUCAGAGCUCUUCUAGAGACCACAGAGAUGACAGAGAACCUCGAGAUGGUCGGGAUCGGAGAGAUGCCAGAGAUACUAGGGACCGAAGGGAACUAAGAGACUCCAGAGACAUGCGGGACUCAAGGGAGAUGAGAGAUUAUAGCAGAGAUACCAAAGAGAGCCGUGAUCCCAGAGAUUCUCGGUCCACUCGUGAUGCCCAUGACUACAGGGACCGUGAAGGUCGAGAUACUCAUCGAAAGGAGGAUACAUAUCCAGAAGAAUCCCGGAGUUAUGGCCGAAACCAUUUGAGAGAAGAAAGUUCUCGUACGGAAAUAAGGAAUGAGUCCAGAAAUGAGUCUCGAAGUGAAAUUAGAAAUGACCGAAUGGGCCGAAGUAGGGGGAGGGUUCCUGAGUUACCUGAAAAGGGAAGUCGAGGCUCAAGAGGUUCUCAAAUUGAUAGUCACAGUAGUAAUAGCAACUAUCAUGACAGCUGGGAAACUCGAAGUAGCUAUCCUGAAAGAGAUAGAUAUCCUGAAAGAGACAACAGAGAUCAAGCAAGGGAUUCUUCCUUUGAGAGAAGACAUGGAGAGCGAGACCGUCGUGACAACAGAGAGAGAGAUCAAAGACCAAGCUCACCAAUUCGACAUCAGGGAAGGAAUGACGAGCUUGAGCGUGAUGAAAGAAGAGAGGAACGAAGAGUAGACAGAGUGGAUGAUAGGAGAGAUGAAAGGGCUAGAGAGAGAGAUCGGGAACGAGAACGAGACAGGGAGCGGGAGAGAGAGAGGGAACGUGAACGGGAUCGGGAAAGAGAAAAAGAGAGAGAACUAGAAAGAGAGCGUGCUAGGGAACGGGAGAGAGAAAGAGAAAAAGAGAGAGAUCGUGAAAGGGAUAGAGACCGAGACCACGAUCGAGAGCGGGAAAGAGAGAGGGAACGAGACAGGGAAAAAGAACGGGAACGAGAAAGAGAAGAGAGAGAGAGGGAGAGAGAGCGAGAACGGGAGAGAGAGCGAGAGCGAGAACGGGAACGAGAAAGAGCGAGAGAAAGGGAUAAAGAACGAGAACGCCAAAGGGAUUGGGAAGACAAAGACAAAGGACGAGAUGACCGCAGAGAAAAGCGAGAAGAGAUCCGAGAAGAUAGGAAUCCAAGAGAUGGACAUGAUGAAAGAAAAUCAAAGAAGCGCUAUAGAAAUGAAGGGAGUCCCAGCCCUAGACAGUCCCCGAAGCGCCGGCGUGAACAUUCUCCGGACAGUGAUGCCUACAACAGUGGAGAUGAUAAAAAUGAAAAACACAGACUCUUGAGCCAAGUUGUACGACCUCAAGAAUCUCGUUCUCUUAGUCCCUCGCACCUCACAGAAGACAGACAGGGUAGAUGGAAAGAGGAGGAUCGUAAACCAGAAAGGAAAGAGAGUUCAAGGCGCUACGAAGAACAGGAACUCAAGGAGAAAGUUUCUUCUGUAGAUAAACAGAGAGAACAGACAGAAAUCCUGGAAAGCUCAAGAAUGCGUGCACAGGACAUUAUAGGACACCACCAGUCUGAAGAUCGAGAGACAUCUGAUCGAGCUCAUGAUGAAAACAAGAAGAAAGCAAAAAUUCAAAAGAAACCAAUUAAGAAAAAGAAAGAGGAUGAUGUUGGAAUAGAGAGGGGUAACAUAGAGACAACAUCUGAAGAUGGUCAAGUAUUUUCACCAAAAAAAGGACAGAAAAAGAAAAGCAUUGAAAAAAAACGUAAAAAAUCCAAAGGUGAUUCUGAUAUUUCUGAUGAAGAAGCAGCCCAGCAAAGUAAGAAGAAAAGAGGCCCACGGACUCCCCCUAUAACAACUAAAGAGGAAUUGGUUGAAAUGUGCAAUGGUAAGAAUGGUAUUCUAGAGGACUCCCAGAAAAAAGAAGAUACAGCAUUCAGUGACUGGUCUGAUGAGGAUGUCCCUGACCGUACAGAGGUGACAGAAGCAGAGCAUACUGCCACCGCCACGACUCCUGGUAGUACCCCUUCUCCUCUAUCUUCUCUUCUUCCUCCUCCACCGCCUGUGGCUACUGCCACUGCUACAACUGUGCCUGCAACUCUUGCUGCCACUACUGCUGCUGCCGCCACCUCUUUCAGCACAUCUGCCAUCACUAUUUCCACCUCUGCCACCCCCACCAAUACCACCAAUAAUACUUUUGCCAAUGAAGACUCACACAGAAAAUGCCACAGAACACGAGUAGAAAAAGUAGAGACGCCUCACGUGACUAUAGAAGAUGCACAGCAUCGCAAGCCUAUGGAUCAAAAGAGGAGCAGCAGCCUCGGGAGCAAUCGGAGUAACCGUAGUCAUACGUCUGGUCGUCUUCGCUCCCCAUCCAAUGAUUCAGCCCAUCGAAGUGGAGAUGACCAAAGUGGUCGAAAGAGAGUACUGCACAGUGGCUCAAGAGAUAGAGAAAAAACAAAAAGCCUGGAAAUCACAGGAGAGAGAAAAUCUAGGAUUGAUCAGUUAAAGCGUGGAGAACCCAGUCGAAGUACUUCUUCAGAUCGCCAGGAUUCAAGAAGCCAUAGUUCAAGAAGAAGUUCUCCAGAGUCAGAUCGACAGGUCCAUUCAAGAUCUGGGUCAUUUGAUAGCAGAGACAGGCUUCAAGAACGAGAUCGAUAUGAACACGACAGAGAGCGCGAGAGAGAGAGGAGAGAUACGAGGCAGAGAGAAUGGGACCGAGAUGCUGAUAAAGAUUGGCCACGCAACAGGGAUCGAGAUAGAUUGCGAGAACGAGAACGAGAGAGAGAACGAGACAAAAGGAGAGACUUGGAUAGGGAAAGAGAGAGACUAAUUUCUGAUUCUGUUGAAAGGGACAGGGACAGAGACAGAGACAGAACUUUUGAGAGUUCUCAAAUAGAGUCUGUGAAACGCUGUGAAGCAAAACUGGAAGGUGAACAUGAAAGGGAUCUAGAAAGCACUUCCCGAGACUCUCUAGCCUUGGAUAAAGAGAGAAUGGAUAAAGAUCUGGGAUCUGUGCAGGGAUUUGAAGAAACAAAUAAAUCCGAGAGAACUGAGAGUCUGGAAGGAGAUGACGAGUCCAAGUUAGAUGAUGCACAUUCAUUAGGCUCUGGUGCUGGAGAAGGAUACGAGCCAAUCAGUGAUGACGAACUAGAUGAAAUUCUGGCAGGUGAUGCAGAAAAGAGGGAGGACCAACAGGAUGAGGAGAAGAUGCCAGAUCCCUUAGAUGUGAUAGAUGUGGAUUGGUCUGGUCUUAUGCCAAAGCAUCCAAAAGAACCACGAGAGCCUGGGGCUGCACUCUUAAAAUUCACACCUGGAGCUGUUAUGCUAAGAGUUGGGAUUUCUAAAAAGUUGGCAGGUUCUGAACUCUUUGCCAAAGUCAAAGAAACAUGUCAGAGACUUUUAGAAAAACCCAAAGAUGCAGACAAUCUCUUUGAACAUGAAUUGGGGGCUCUCAAUAUGGCUGCAUUACUACGAAAAGAAGAAAGAGCAAGUCUUCUUAGUAAUCUUGGCCCAUGUUGUAAGGCGUUGUGCUUCAGACGGGAUUCUGCAAUUCGAAAGCAGCUUGUUAAAAAUGAGAAGGGCACCAUAAAACAAGCUUACACGAGUGCUCCAAUGGUAGACAAUGAAUUACUUCGAUUGAGUCUUCGGUUAUUUAAGCGGAAGACUACUUGCCAUGCUCCAGGACAUGAAAAGACUGAAGAUAAUAAACUUUCACAGUCCAGUAUCCAACAGGAACUGUGUGUGUCUUAAGACCGAAGUUCAAUAUGGUAUUUUUGGUACUGUCUUCCUUCAGCAGUGCAUAUUCUUUUGCAAAGUUCUUUGGUUUGACAAGCAUUAGUGACAAAGGCAGAAAAGAUUUAUCAGCCAUGCUAAAAGAGUGAAGAAUUUUGAUCUUUAGAGACACUAGUUUUGGCCAACUUAAGAUUUUACGUUAAUUUUUACAUAGUAUUUGACACUCAUGCAAAAUAAUGUGAAAACAUCUAGAUUUAGUAGUUUAUUCUGCGCCUUUUGUUAAAACUGAAGAUUUUGGAAAAUGGUUGUCACUGCUCUUCCAGCCUAUGAAUAUUUUUGUGAAAUGGAACCAUGGAUUUAUGUCUGGAUCAUCCAUACAGAACCAACAAUUUUAUUCAAAAACAAUGUGUUCAUCAAAGUAAUUGCUCACAUUGUGCAGUACUAUGUUGUACAGACCACGUGAAAGGGAAUGCUGGUCUAGCUGGCGUGGUAUGUUUAUAGGCGAAUUUCAGCAGAAGGAAGCCAAAAUAGUUUUUUCCUUUUGAAAGUUUUUUAAAAAUUAUUUCAUGGGUCUUUUUUUUAAUUAAUAUGUGUGCAUUGUUACAAUGUAUGUUGGAUGUCUUUUGACCCUAAAUGCUUUUUUUGUUAUCAGAGAUUGUGUACUAUUUUUAUUUUUAAUAAAUGUAUCUUCCCUUUCCUUGUUUUAGAUUUACUUUGCUCUUCGUUAAUCUUAUUCCUGAUGAUCUAGAACAUUAGUCAUCAACAUUACAUGUUUCAUGCUUCAGAUAUUUUACUGCUUGUGUCCUUAUUGUUGGACAGCUUUAAACAGAGUUGAUGUACUUCAAAUAUAGCUCAUUGAUACUUAAGGCAUCUUCUUGGAAUGUGGCUUUUGAAGAAAAAAAUUACUCAAAGCAAAUCAAGAGUUAACAAACCUAACGUAACCUGAGGUUUAAUAUUCUACUAUCAUAUUUUUUAGAGCUAUAACUUUUGAUUAUAUUAAACUGCCUCCAGCUGUACUAUGUAAAACAGAUUUACUUUUAAAAAUUACAGUAUACCUGCUUUGUUCUAUAUGUAUAUGUUUAACUCAUGAAGUGGACUCUUAGAAGGAUUUGAAAUGGACUCUGGCCACAGAAUUUGUGAGCAGACAGUAGUAGUGAUAAUAAUAAAAGAAGGCAAUCAAAAUUUAAUUUUAUCAUGCCCUCUCACAGGUUUGUGUUAUAAUUGUAAGCCCAUAUUACUUGUGUUAGUAGUUUUGUCUCUAUAGGUAACAUAAUGACAGUGGUGUAAAGUUUCUGUUCAAGAAACAUAUGUUGUAAAGUUACUUUAUACAAGAUACCUGCCAAAGGAAAUGGUCUUACUUUCAAAUGACUUUGAAAGCAUGUAUAAUUGCAAACAGAGCAGGAGAAGACUUUAAUCAGAAUUUCCUUGUGUCCUUUUCCUUUACUAAGUGUUUUGAAUAAAGAAAAAAAAAAUGUAUGACCUCAGAGAAUGAAUACCCUUCAGGAAGCCACUUCCUGAUUUUAGUGGAUAAUAUUGUUCUCUGUAGCACAAAGAUUUAAAGUCCUAGAAUUUCUAAUCCUAGUUCUCAGAAUUGUAGAAUAUGACAAAAAUAAUGGUUUCCCCAUUUGUCCACUGACUUCAGGGAUAUUUCACAAGUUAUUUAUUUAUAGAAUGAAAACUAUGUAGUUAAAUCUGUCAUUCAGUUAAACCUGUUGUCUUUCAGUUUGAAAUCUUUUUGUUAUGUAUGUUGCAAAAGAAAAUUUAGAACUAUUCCUUUGUUCACUCAGUCACAGCAUUCAGAGCUUUAUGUUUCCAGUGGAAAUGUACUGUUCAGUCUCAAUUUCUUUUAAUUCAACCAUUCUCAGUAUUAGUAACAUAUACCUAUAAAAUUUUUCUAAAGCAAAAUUUUUGAUUGAAUUUCUCAUAAAAGCUCUUGGACCAUAAUUAAAGUCUCAGUUAAACUGGUAUUCCCGAAAAACAAUCUUCCAGUCUAUAAAUUGUUUGCUAGUACAAUUAAAAGGUCAUCUAUCUCAUAACUGACGGCUCAGGUCUGUCCAGUUGCCAUAAUUGCACAACUGGAUUCCAGCUGCUGGUAAUAAGGAAUUGUGUAGAUAGAUAAAGGGCAAGAGUAUGUCUGCAAUCCAAAAUAAAUGAGAGUUAACACAUAAUUAGCCUUUUGAUUAUUUUGGCAGCUAUCCUCACCAUUUAGUAAAGGGUAUACUAACAAUACCCAACUUUAUUUAACAAAGUUUUGUAAGCAUACCUAAGUAGUAACUUGAUAUGCUGAAAAAUCUGACCUGUCACUUCGCUUCACUCUGACCAGUAAUUGCAGAUUGUCGUCACCAUCCUAGCCUAUGACUACAUUAGGAUUUUAUGACUUAUUAACUUGAAAAUCUGUUCUGUAAGUGGCAUUGGUAGAAUCUCCCACUUUGCUCCUCACUGUCCAAUUGUGUAAAGAUUAAGGUACAUACUAUUGUUGGUGAUGCUUUUACACCUCAACUUGCUAUUUUAAAAGGUUAUAUGAACCCCUCCCACUUUUAAGGAUAUUCCCUUUUACUGAUUUUCCUAGCUAAAAUUAUAUAGCCAUCUUUCUAAAUAUUGUAUUUAAAUCUGAUCUAGGACUUGCCUUAUUUUAUCAUUUUUCUUUAAUAAUCUCCAAUAAACUUUCUUUAUUCAUUAA